GACCGCGUGCCUUUUGUAGAAUGAGCCUGCGAGUUACUUUAUACAGCAAGGUUAAGCAAUCGUAAUUGCGCAGCCGUAGCGAAAGCGAGUCUUAAAUGGGCGUUUUAGUUGUAUGGAGUAGACCCGAAACCGAGUGAUCUAGUUAUAGCCAGGUUGAAGUGACGGUAAAACGUCAUGGAGGACCGAACCGUUGAAUUGAAAAAUUCUCGGAUGAGCCGUGACUAGGGGUGAAAGACCAAACAAACUCGGCAAUAGCUGGUUCUCCUCGAAAUAGCUUUAGGGCUAGCCUCAUUCGUUUUGUUGCGGGGGUAGAGCACUGAUUGGGCUAGGGGGUCCACAAACUUACCAAACCCACUUAAACUUCGAAUACCGUAACUUUAGAGAAUGGGAGUCAGACUACGGGAGAUAAGUUCCGUGGUCAAAAGGGAAAGAGCCCAGACCAACAGCUAAGGUCCCCAAGUAUAUGCUAAGUGAUAAAAGAGGUGGCGUCGCACAGACACCCAGGAGGUUGGCUUAGAAGCAGCAACCCUUCAAAGAGUGCGUAAUAGCUCACUGGUCGAGUGACGCUGCGCCGAAAAUAAUUGGGACUAAGCAUAUCACCGAAGCUUUGGACUUACGUAAGUGAGUGGUAGAGGAGCAUUCUGUACCGGGCUGAAGGUAGACCGCGAGGACUGCUGGACUGUACAGAAGAGAGAAUGCAGGCAUGAGUAACGACAAAGCAUGUGAAAAACAUGCUCGCCGAAAGCCUAAAGUUUUCUGGGCAAUGUUAAUCAUCUCAGAGUUAGUCGGCCCCUAAGGCGAGGCCUAACGGCGUAGUCGAUGGGAAGCAGGUUCAUAUUCCUGCACCACCUGGUGGAGGCUAUCGUGAUGGAGUGACGCAGGAGGAUAUGUGCGCAGGGCGUUGGUUGUCCCUGUCCCUAUUCGUAGGUUUGGGCUUCAGGAAAAUCCGGAGCCCUUAUGACUGAGGAUGUGGGGGAGUCUGCUUUUAGCAGGCGAAGGCAUUGAUUCCAGCUGCCAGGAAAAACUUCUAAACGCGAAACCGGGUGACCGUACUGUAAACCGACACAGGUAGGCGGGGAGAGUAUCCCAAGGCGCUCGAGAGAACCUCCGUUAAGGAACUCGGCAAAAUGGUCCCGUAACUUAGGGAAAAGGGACGCCUCAUUAGUGUGAAGUUGUACAAAUGGAGCACGAAGAGGCCGCAGAUAAAUGGCCCAAGCGACUGUUUACCAAAAACACAGGACUCUGCAAACUCGUAAGAGGAAGUAUAGGGUCUGACACCUGCCCGGUGCCGGAAGGUUAAGAGGAGGGGUUAGCGGUAGCGCGAAGCUCUGAAUUGAAGCCCCGGUAAACGGCGGCCGUAACUAUGACGGUCCUAAGGUAGCGAAAUUCCUUGUCGGGUAAGUUCCGACCUGCACGAAUGGUGUAACGACUUGGGCACUGUCUCAACGGGGGACUCGGUGAAAUUGUAAUGUUAGUGAAGAUGCUGACUACCUGCAGAAGGACGGAAAGACCCCGUGCACCUUUACUGUAGCC
rnacentral:rRNA from 1 species